rnacentral:lncRNA from 1 species
UGGAGAAGACACAUCAUGUUCACCAGGAAAACUUUGAAUAUUUUAUGUAACAAACUACAACGAGGAGAUUGAAGAUCUGGAGAGAAAAGUGCAGGAAUACCAAAAAAAGGAAGGACUAAGAUGGUUUGCUUUUCAGUGGUUUAGAGUUGACUACUGCCAGAGCAGAGGAUAA